GCAGAGCCCAGGCGCGUGGGUCGGUGUCGGGUGUGUGUGUACGUCUGUGUGUGUAAUGAAACUGGACGCCUUCCUUCCCGGCGAUCUUGACUUAACCUGUCAGCAGAGGGCUUGAGGUUAGACCACAGGUUGAACCUAGGUGGCUGCUGGAGAGAUUCUAAAGUUCGCUGAGCAUUUUCAUGGGCACAACCUCAUCUGAUCAUUAUGGCAACACUGUGGGGCCUUGAAAUCAUGGCAGCAGCAAGACCCAACUGGGGCAGCAUCAUGUCUGGGUUUGAAUCCCGGUUCAGCCACUUUCCAGCU
rnacentral:lncRNA from 1 species